UCUUGUAAGAGUGUGCCUGAACAGCGGCCUGAAGGCGCAACAGGAAACAGGAAGGGCGAGGGGCCCACCUCCAACCCCCAGGUUCAGGAGGAACACAUGUUUAUCACAGAGCGGCCGCCGGGGUCCGCGGGAGACGCCAGACCACACUUCAGGCAAAGGCGGUGGAAACGGCUCCAGGAGGAAAGUGAGAACGUCCGUGCCGGGCUUCGCACGGAGAAGACGCGCGGUGACCGUCUGUCGAACGGGCGAAUGAAUGAAGACAUGUGAACCCAUGACCGGGUGGGAAGAGGAAAAAGGACGAGGAGAGCUACAGAGCUGGGCUGCGGCGGGCAAGCCCCGAGCAACACGGGGAAGGCAGACCUCGCUCCCGGCUUCUCCGAAGAGGGCGGGCACUUCUGACUAAAGCAAAACAAAUCUGAUGCCACUAAGAUAAGAAGCAGCGGAACCAAGGAAGCCAGGGCAUUGUACACUCUCCUGCAUCUGGGAGAGUAACUCGGGAGAAGAAACACAAAAAGAGAAGGAGGGACAAGACUUUCUCUUGAACUUCAAGCUCUGGAAACCAAAGAACACAUGACUCUGUAAAGGGGAAAACAGCCCGAGGACACCUUUCUGGUCAUUCACUACAGCUUCCCAAACGAUCUCUAUGAGGAAACCCUAGAAGGAAACUGGAAGGUAGUGGACAGACUCAGAUCCCGCACUGACCUAAGACACACUCUCAGGCAGUGAGUAACCCAGUGACAAAAACAGUGCCCAUGUGACCAACCUGACAGCUGGCUGUGGCGUCCUCAGGUGACGCUACAAAUUCUAGGCGAGGCAACGGGAGGGGGCAAGGACUUCCUCAGGUCACAAGGAUUAAACAUGCUGUGUGCACAGGGGAACUUCUCAUGCUCAGCACGCCAUCACUGGCACAGCACGACCGGGCAGGGCCUGGAGAUGCUGAGUUUCUCUGGGGCCUCAGGCUGGUCGGCCAGCCCUCCCCCGGGAGCUGCCGGGGGCAGAGGCAGUGACAACAGCAGCGUCAGCGGGCUACAGCUCGCUACUACGAGCGCCACACCCGCGGCCCCUCUCUGAGGAAGCCGGCACCCCGCAGCGCUGCCCUCAGCACCUCCUCGACAGCUCAGGGGCGGGCACAGCAGGCCCGCCGGAGACCACGAGUCCCGAGCGAGGGAACCGCAAUUCCACCGAGGCUUCUCACUUGAGAAGGCGCUGCUUAGCUGCCGCGCAACACAGCUGCUAUGUGACAGGUCCCGGGGUGGCUCUCUGAACUGGAGCAUCAGAGUAUACAUCCUCUGCCCCUAACCUGUCGCCUCUGCCCUGACUGGACUUGACUGUCCCGACACUGACCACGCCGAACCUGAGCUCUUAGGACAAGAGCGUUUUCUCAGAAGAGAUGAAAAGGCUGCCUUGAGGGCAGAAGCCACGAGCUCUGAGUCUGGACAGUUUCGGUGGAGCUGUCCAUGAGAGACUGGAGUCAAGACAUGGAGCAGACAGCCUGGGCCUCAGGAGGGAGAGCUGGGCUGGAAACCCCAACCUGACGUGGGACUUCCCACCACUGCUCCUGGCAGAGCCAACGGCCUGCAGCGCAAUUUCCUGACUGUCAUCCUCGAACGAGACCUUGAACACGAAGGUCAUUCAGACCUUCUCACCUCACAACGUGGAACCACAGCUGACCUGCCAGGAGCCAGAAGAUCAUUUCUGUUUUCUCUUUCACCCUUACUCACACAUCCAAUUCAUCCAAUCUUUUAAGCUCUAUUUCUAAAAGGCAUGCUAAAUCCACCACUUUUCCCCAUUUCCCCUGCCAGGAUGUGAUCUGCUCAGCCUGAUCUGCCCGGCCUCUCCUGGACCGGGGUCUUCUGCGCGAUUGUGUUUGCAUACCUGUUAAAGAGUUAAUAUAGCUAGGAUUUUAGCUUGAUAUCUAAUUUUUUUAAAUCAUAAGUUAAAGAAUUGCAAAGAAUAUAAUGUUAUUUUUUAAAUUGUUUUUUUAAAAAUAAAGCACCACUCCUUUUUAAAAUAGAAAAUAUCCAACGAAAUACAAAUGUCAUGGUGACCUGACAUCCACGCCAAUCUAUUUAGGAACCGUAAGGACAAACUGUGCUUCAGUGAUUGAAAGUUUUACAUUUUACUUUUGCUCUUUGACCUUGUAUUUCUGUGCUACCUCUCCUUAAAAUCUCGCACUCACAAAAUUUAUUUUGUGCUAGAUUUUUUGUAUAGAACCUCUCUCAUACUUUUCUGCAACAAAAAUAUGUAUAAAUCUAAGUUUGGUAUUCACAAAAUUUCCGGUGGUCAUAACUCUGUUAAGAAAUUCUUUCGGAUUGCGUAAUCAUUACAAUUACUAGUAACAUAUGACCAAUCAAAACUAAGAUGAAGAUCAGGUAUUUUGAGAGACUAACUAUUAAACAUGAAGAGUGUAAAAUCUCAUCAACAACAUGUCUUGUCCUUAAACAUCUUUAUCUUAAUGACAUCAGUGGAACUUUUACGUUUGAUAGUUGAGAUGUCUCUGGCUGAACAUUACUGAUCGCUGGGGAGACCCAGGAUUCUGUAUCAGGUCUAGAAUGGGUUUCAUUCCCACAGGCGUAAGCAGUAGCACGUUUUCACGAGAAUAAACAGGAACGGGAGUUCGGCUAGGGCAGUGCUACUCGGCGUCCCGCAGCCUUGGGACCUACGUGCCCCAAGCUGCAUAGCGGCCCGUCAUCGAAAAUCACUUCCAGUAUCCACUGGCUGCCCUUCGAUUCUGCUGAAAACAGAGAACUGCAAACAGUCUGGCUCUUCUCGCCCACUGUCUCUACACCAGCCCUUGGAAUUACCCCUUGGUUGUGGUUUAAGAGGUUUCGCUCCCCAGGGGAAUGCAGAACAGUGAGACCGAGGGGAGGGAGGUGCCCACCGCAGGGUGAGAAGGGGAAGUGAAAAAAGAGAAUGUGCACACCUCAGACGCCUCCCAGGCAGAGCAAUUUGAGGAAAAAGCACGCUUAGCCGCUGAGAAGCUGUGCCCACGGACCCUUGGGGGAAAUGUUUGUGCAUUUCCAGGCAGAUAGGUACCUUGCUUUAAAGACCUGUGUGGCCUAGGCGACUCUAAUCCCUCAUCUGACCUCCCUGCUUCCACUCUCAGCUCUGCUGAAACCACGCUCCUGCAGCCAGAA